rnacentral:rRNA from 1 species
GACGAACGCUGGCGGCGUGCCUAAUACAUGCAAGUAGAACGCUGAAGGAGGAGCUUACUUCUCUGGGUGAGUUGCGAACGGGUGAGUAACGCGUAGGUAACCUGCCUGGUAGCGGGGGAUAACUAUUGGAAACGAUAGCUAAUACCGCAUAAGAGUAGAUGUUGCAUGACAUUUACUUAAAAGGUGCAAUUGCACCACUACCAGAUGGACCUGCGUUGUAUUAGCUAGUUGGUGGGGUAACGGCUUACCAAGGCGACGAUACAUAGCCGACCUGGGGGGGUGAUCGGCCACACUGGGACUGAGACACGGCCCAGACUCCUACAGGAGGCAGCGGUAGGGAAUCUUCGGCAAUGGACGGAAGUCUGACCGAGCAACGCCGCGUGAGUGAAGAAGGUUUUCGGAUCGUAAAGCUCUGUUGUAAGAGAAGAACGAGUGUGAGAGUGGAAAGUUCACACUGUGACGGUAUCUUACCAGAAAGGGACGGCUAACUACGUGCCAGCCGCCGCAGUAAUAC